rnacentral:rRNA from 1 species
GACGAACUGUGCAAACGUUAUUCGGGAUUAUUGGGCUUAAAGCGCGGGUAGGCGGCUUAGCAAGUCGCAGGUGAAAUCCCAUCGGCUCAACCGUGGAACUGCCUGCGAAACUGCUGGGCUUGAGGAAAGUAGGGGUCUGUGGAACCUAUGGUGGAGCGGUGAAAUGUGUUGAUAUCAUAGGGAACGCCGGUGGCGAAAGCGAUAGACUGGGUUUUUUCUGACGCUGAGACGCGAAAGCUAGGGGAGCAAACGGG